rnacentral:rRNA from 1 species
UACGUAGGUGGCAAGCGUUGUCCGGAAUUAUUGGGCGUAAAGCGCGCGCAGGCGGUCCUUUAAGUCUGAUGUGAAAGCCCACGGCUCAACCGUGGAGGGUCAUUGGAAACUGGGGGACUUGAGUACAGAAGAGAAGAGUGGAAUUCCACGUGUAGCGGUGAAAUGCGUAGAGAUGUGGAGGAACACCCGUGGCGAAGGCGACUCUUUGGUCUGUAACUGACGCUGAGGCGCGAAAGCGUGGGGAGCAAACAGG